rnacentral:rRNA from 1 species
UACGAAGGGUGCAAGCGUUACUCGGAAUUACUGGGCGUAAAGCGUGCGCAGGCGGUUUUGUAAGCCAGAUGUGAAAGCCCCGGGCUUAACCUGGGAAUGGCAUUUGGAACUGCAAGGCUUGAGUGCGGCAGAGGAGACUGGAAUUCCUGGUGUAGCAGUGAAAUGCGUAGAUAUCAGGAGGAACACCGGUGGCGAAGGCGGGUCUCUGGGCCGUAACUGACGCUGAGGAGCGAAAGCGUGGGGAGCGAACAGG